rnacentral:rRNA from 1 species
AACAAACGCUGGCGGCAGGCUUAACACAUGCAAGUCGAGCGCCCCGCAAGGGGAGCGGCAGACGGGUGAGUAACGCGUGGGAACGUACCCUUUGCUACGGAAUAGCUCCGGGAAACUGGAAUUAAUACCGUAUGUGCCCUACGGGGGAAAGAUUUAUCGGCAAAGGAUCGGCCCGCGUUGGAUUAGCUAGUUGGUGGGGUAAUGGCCUACCAAGGCGACGAUCCAUAGCUGGUCUGAGAGGAUGAUCAGCCACAUUGGGACUGAGACACGGCCCAAACUCCUACGGGAGGCAGCAGCAAGGAAUUUUCCACAAUGGGCGCAAGCCUGAUGGAGCAACGCCGCGUGCGGGAUGACGCCCUUCGGGGUGUAAACCGCUUUUCGAGGGGACGAAGGCAAUGACGGUACCCUCGGAAUAAGGAUCGGCUAACUACGUGCCAGCCGCCGCGGUAAUAC